AUCGAACGCUGGCGGCGGGCCUAACACAUGCAAGUCGAACGAGUGGCGGACGGGUGAGUAAUGUCGGGGAAACUGCCUGACGGAGGGGGAUAACGACGGGAAACGGUAGCUAAUACCGCAUACCAUCAGAUCUGCCCAGAUGGGAUUAGCUAGUUGGUGGGGUAACGGCUGACCAAGGCGAAGAGCCCUAGCUGGUCUGAGAGGAUGACCAGCCACACGGGAACUGAGACACGGCCCAGACGCCUACGGGAGGCAGCAGUGGGGAAUAUUGCACAAUGGGCGCAAGCCUGAUGCAGCCAUGCCGCGUGUGUGAAGAAGGCCUUCGGGUUGUAAAGUACUUUCAGCGGGGAGGCGGUACCCGAAGAAGAAGCACCGGCUAACUCCGUGCCAGCAGCCGCGGUAAUAC
rnacentral:rRNA from 1 species